UACGGAGGGUGCAAGCGUUAUCCGGAUUUACUGGGGUUAAAGGGUGCGCAGGCGGAUAUGUAAGUCAGUGGUGAAAUCUUCCCGCUUAACGGGAAAACUGCCAUUGAUACUAUAUAUCUUGAAUGCUGUGGAGGUAAGCAGAAUAUGUCAUGUAGCGGUGAAAUGCUUAGAGAUGACAUAGAAUACCUAUUGCGAAGGCAGCUUACUACGCAGAUAUUGACGCUCAUGCACGAAAGCGUGGGGAUCAAACAGG
rnacentral:rRNA from 1 species